CAACUUUCAACAACGGAUCUCUUGGCUCUCGCAUCGAUGAAGAACGCAGCGAAAUGCGAUAAGUAAUGUGAAUUGCAGAAUUCAGUGAAUCAUCGAAUCUUUGAACGCACCUUGUGCUCCUUGGGUAUUCUGAGGAGCAUGCCUGUUUGAGUGUCAUGA
rnacentral:rRNA from 1 species